GGGAGAGCUUGCUCUUUCGCUGACGACCGGCGCACGGGUGCGUAACGCGUAUACAACCUACCUUUUGGAGGGGAAUAGCCCAGGGAAACUUGGAUUAAUGCCCCAUAGUAUGGGAAUAUCUCCUGAUAUUUUCAUUAAACAUUUAUGGCCAUUAGAUGGGUAUGCGUCCUAUUAGUUAGUUGGUAAGGUAACGGCUUACCAAGGCAGCGAUAGGUAGGGGUCCUGAGAGGGAGAUCCCCCACACUGGUACUGAGACACGGACCAGACUCCUACGGGAGGCAGCAGUGAGGAAUAUUGGACAAUGGGCGAGAGCCUGAUCCAGCCAUGCCGCGUGCAGGAAGACUGCCCUAUGGGUUGUAAACUGCUUUUACAGAGGAAGAACCACUCCCACGUGUGGGAGUUUGACGGUACUCUGCGAAUAAGGAUCGGCUAACUCCGUGCCAGCAGCCGCGGUAAUACGGAGGAUCCAAGCGUUAUCCGGAAUCAUUGGGUUUAAAGGGUCCGUAGGCGGGCAGUUAAGUCAGUGGUGAAAGUCUUCCGCUCAACGGGAGAACUGCCAUUGAUACUGAUUGUCUUGAGUUAUUAUGAAGUGGUUAGAAUGAGUAGUGUAGCGGUGAAAUGCAUAGAUAUUACUCAGAAUACCGAUUGCGAAGGCAGAUCACUAAUAAUAUACUGACGCUGAUGGACGAAAGCGUAGGUAGCGAACAGGAUUAGAUACCCUGGUAGUCUACGCCGUAAACGAUGGUUACUAGCUGUUCGGCCCGAUUAAGGGCUGAGUGGUUAAGCGAAAGUGAUAAGUAACCCACCUGGGGAGUACGUUCGCAAGAAUGAAACUCAAAGGAAUUGACGGGGGCCCGCACAAGCGGUGGAGCAUGUGGUUUAAUUCGAUGAUACGCGAGGAACCUUACCAGGGCUUAAAUGUAGUCUGACAGGAGUGGAAACACUUUUUUCUUCGGACAGAUUACAAGGUGCUGCAUGGUUGUCGUCAGCUCGUGCCGUGAGGUGUCAGGUUAAGUCCUAUAACGAGCGCAACCCCUGUGGUUAGUUGCCAGCGAGUAAUGUCGGGAACUCUAGCCAGACUGCCGGUGCAAACCGUGAGGAAGGUGGGGAUGACGUCAAAUCAUCACGGCCCUUACGUCCUGGGCCACACACGUGCUACAAUGGUAGGGACAGAGAGCAGCCACUUCGCGAGAAGGAGCGAAUCUACAAACCCUAUCACAGUUCGGAUCGCAGUCUGCAACUCGACUGCGUGAAGCUGGAAUCGCUAGUAAUCGCAUAUCAGCCAUGAUGCGGUGAAUACGUUCCCGGGCCUUGUACACACCGCCCGUCAAGCCAUGGAAGCCGGG
rnacentral:rRNA from 1 species